GGGGCUGUAGCUCAGCUGGGAGAGCGCCUCGUUCGCAAUGAGGAGGUCGGCGGUUCGAUCCCGCUCAGCUCCACCA
rnacentral:tRNA from 1 species